GAAUAGUUUCGCACCUUAAAUUUUGCCUUGAACAUACCUAACGAACUAUGCUGUACAGAUCAUCGGUGUUCUUUGUGCAAAGAGGCACAGACAUUGUUUGUCCAGUGUGGAGGUGUUUGUUACACACGAUGGAAGCAAUUAUCUUCCCUUGGAUAAAUGUUAAUAAGGCACCGAAAUUCUUUUUAACUGAUGAAUGACAAAAUCCUUGUCGUGCUCUGCUGUAAGCGUCGGUCCGAAAAUGACAUCCAACAUCUCCCGCAACACUAAAAAGAAUUUCGUUUUCAACGAAUAUUCGACCAACAGUCACCUUUAUGAUGGCGGCUUAGGAUCCAACAAGGCGACUCAAUCGCGACAUAGAAUUCCACCGCGAGAUGCACAGGAAUGUAUAGAUCGAGGAGUUGCAUUAUGAUCCACACUAAGCUGUUAAUGUGAGCAGUUGCCUGGAAUGACUGUGAUACAGGAGAGAUUCGACAACGCGAGCAGAAGCCAUAACCAAUAGAAUGGCAAAUGCACAUAAUAUUCGUAUCGGUUAAAUUGGAUCAAACAGUGAGCAGGAAAACUGUGGGUUGAUUACAGCAUAUCAACGUGUAUCACAAUCUUCCGAUUGCCCUGUUUCCAUGAUAAACCAGAAGAGUGUUGUGAGCACGUUCAGGUCUCCUAGUUGCAGUGAUCAUUCAAUGGAGCAAUUGAAACACAAUAAGCAUCGAAGUAGGUACCGCUUGUAUGAUAUUUUGCAGCUCCACACGAGCUCAAUGUUAGAUUAAGACAUGUUCAAAACCAAAAAUAAUGAAACGAAAAAAGUGACUAUUUAGCUAUACGUUAAGUUUAAUAACUGUAUGUUUUAAACUACAUGAGAUAAUGUAACUUGUUCCAAAUUAAGUAUCACUAGAGUAUGUAUUAAAAAUUUAAGGUAGAUAUUUGUAAAACUUCAACUCCUAUGAAGUGUUACGGGGGGGAAUGUUACGAAUAGUUUCGCACCUUAAAUUUUGCCUUGAACAUACCUAACGAACUAUGCUGUACAGAUCAUCGGUGUUCUUUGUGCAAAGAGGCACAGACAUUGUUUGUCCAGUGUGGAGGUGUUUGUUACACACGAUGGAAGCAAUUAUCUUCCCUUGGAUAAAUGUUAAUAAGGCACCGAAAUUCUUUUUAACUGAUGAAUGACAAAAUCCUUGUCGUGCUCUGCUGUAAGCGUCGGUCCGAAAAUGACAUCCAA